AUUGAACGCUGGCGGCAGGCCUAAAACAUGCAAGUCGAACGAGUGGCGGACGGGUGAGUAAUGUCUGGGAAACUGCCCGAGGGAGGGGGAUAACUAAUGGAAAAGGUAGCUAAUACCGCAUACCAUCGGAUGUGCCCAGAUGGGAUUAGCUAGUAGGUGGGGGAACGGCUCACAUAGGCGCAGAUCCCUAGCUGGUCUGAGAGUAUGACCAGCCACACGGGAACUGAGCCACGGUCCAGACGCCUACGGUAGGCAGCAGUGGGGAAUAUUGCACAAUUGGCGCAAGCCUGAUACAGCCAUGCCGCGUGUAUGAAGAAGGCCUUCGGGUUGUAAAGUACUUUCAGCGAGGAGGCGUUACUCGCAGAAGAAGCACCGGCUAACUCCGUGCCAGCAGCCGCGGUAAUAC
rnacentral:rRNA from 1 species